CGAAUCCUACGGGACGCAGCAGUGGGGAAUAUUGCGCAAUGGGGGAAACCCUGACGCAGCAACGCCGCGUGCGGGAUGAAGGCCUUCGGGUUGUAAACCGCUUUCAGCAGGGAAGAUCCAAGACGGUACCUGCAGAAGAAGCCCCGGCUAACUACGUGCCAGCAGCCGCGGUAAUACGUAGGGGGCAAGCGUUAUCCGGAUUCAUUGGGUUUAAAGGGUGCGCAGGCGGGCCUUUAAGCCGGCGGUGAAAUCGCGGGGCUCAACCCCGCCGCGCCGUCGGAAC
rnacentral:rRNA from 1 species